rnacentral:rRNA from 1 species
CAGCCGCCGCGGGAAUACGUAGGUGGCGAGCGUUGUCCGGAAUUAUUGGGCGUAAAGGGAGCGCAGGCGGACAUAUAAGUCCAUCUUAAAAGUGCGGGGCUCAACCCCGUGAGGGAAUGGAAACUGUAUGCCUUGAGUGCAGGAGAGGAAAGCGGAAUUCCCAGUGUAGCGGUGAAAUGCGUAGAUAUUGGGAGGAACACCAGUGGCGAAGGCGGCUUUCUGGACUGUAACUGACGCUGAGGCUCGAAAGCCAGGGGAGCGAACGGGAUUAGAUACCCCUGUAGUCCCUGUCUCUUAUACA